rfam:Gossypium arboreum cultivar AKA8401 contig_60688_1, whole genome shotgun sequence.
AGUCCAUGAUGAGGACACUUUCUCAAUAAAUCUUUAAAUAUCUCCUAUGUAUCAUAAAGUGUCUCAAUAUCAAAUUGAACAAAAGAAGAGAUGUCAUUUCUCAACUU